UAGUAGAUGAAAUCAAACAAACCCGUGGGCAAAAGUAUGUGAGCGUGCACCCAUGUGAUGCAUGUAAGAGAAAGAGUAAAUGGAUGUCAAAAUCUUGGCAAAGACUUCGUGUGGAAUGAAGAAUGGGGACAAGAUGAAUCUUAAACAACAUUAUAUGGCCCAUUACAAGAUUUGAUUGAACAAGAGAAACCCCAAUUACUUUACUAUGCCUAGGCCCUUUCAAUAUUUUCAAAGAUGCACCAUCCAUAUAUCAGACUCAAGACAUAUAAUAUAAUCAGAGAGGAAUGCAUGGACCCCACACCCCAGACUCCUAUAUAUUUAUCUAUCUAUAUCUAUAUAUAUAGAGUAUGAUUUAUUGACAACGUUGUAAAAAAGUGUCCAUCCUUACAACAAAUUUUGAUCGUCCAUCCGAAUAUAUCUAACGACCCAU
rnacentral:lncRNA from 1 species